rnacentral:tRNA from 1 species
GCAGGCAUAGCUCAUUUGGUAGAGUGUUUGCCUACUAUGCACAGGUCCAUGGUUCAAUUCCAGGAACAUGCA